rnacentral:rRNA from 1 species
CAGCCGCCGCGGUAAUACCGGCGGCCCGAGUGGCGGCCACUAUUAUUGGGCCUAAAGCGUCCGUAGCCGGGCUGGUAAGUCCUCCGGGAAAUCUGGUCGCUUAACGAUCAGACUUCCGGAGGAUACUGCUGGCCUAGGGACCGGGAGAGGCCGAGGGUAUUCCCGGGGUAGGGGUGAAAUCCUGUAAUCCCGGGAGGACCACCUGUGGCGAAGGCGCUCGGCUGGAACGGGUCCGACGGUGAGGGACGAAGGCCAGGGGAGCGAACCGGAUUAGAUACCCGGGUAGUCCUGGCUGUAAACGAUGCGGGCUAGGUGUCGGGUGAGCUUCGGGCUCGCCCGGUGCCGUAGGGAAGCCGUUAAGCCCGCCGCCUGGGGAGUACGGCCGCAAGGCUGAAACUUAAAGGAAUUGGCGGG